UGGGGAAUAUUGCACAAUGGAGGGUACUCUGAUGCAGCGACGCCGCGUGAACGAAGAAGGCUUUCGAGUCGUAAAGUUCUUUUAUAUGGGAAGAUAAUGACGGUACCAUAAGAAAAAGCCCCGGCUAACUACGUGCCAGCAGCCGCGGUAAUACGUAGGGGGCUAGCGUUGUCCGGAAUCACUGGGCGUAAAGGGUUCGCAGGCGGAAAUGCAAGUCAGGUGUAAAAGGCAGUAGCUUAACUACUGUAAGCAUUUGAAACUGCAUAUCUUGAGAAGAGUAGAGGUAAGUGGAAUUUUUAGUGUAGCGGUGAAAUGCGUAGAUAUUAAAAAGAAUACCGGUGGCGAAGGCGACUUACUGGGCUCAUUCUGACGCUGAGGAACGAAAGCGUGGGUAGCAAACAGG
rnacentral:rRNA from 1 species